rnacentral:lncRNA from 1 species
AGUUUGAAUAAAUUCUCUCAUCCUAUCAACAUGUACAAUCACACACACUUUUUGAGGUCUUUUAGGGUUGUAACGGGGCUUUGGUUUAGGUAGGGUAUGAAAUUGGAACAAGGGUUUUUUUUUUCUUUUGGGUUGUAACGGGGUUUUGGUUUAGGUAGGCUAUGAAAUUUGAACAAAGGUUUUUGGGUUCAGAGUACAUGAAAUCAUUCUCUCACUACGUUUCUUUUCUAUUAUUCCUGUAGGAUUAUGCACUCCUCUUUUCCUUUUAUAUAUAGUGAAUGUAGCAUCUUUCAAAAGCUGUUCUUUUAUUGUUUUUCGCUUUUCUCUUUCUUUCUUUUCAUGUUGUUGUUGUUGUUUUUUUUCUUUUUCUCUUCUUUUUUUUUUCUUUUAUACUACAUUCACUUACUAUUCACGUACUGCAAAGCUAACCCAAACUUAAAGGUUGUUAUUCCAACAGCAACCCCAAACUUAGAUAGAAACGUAGAGAUGAAAUCAAUCCUCACAUACUCUGAACAGGGUAGGAUAGGUACAAGGUCAUGGCUUUUAG